ACCUGGCACAGUGGUACGUAUGUGCCUGUAGUGCUACUCGGGAGGCUGAGGCUGGAGGAUCGCUUGGGUCCAGGAGUUCUGUGCUGUAGUGCGCUAUGCCGAUCAGAUGUCUGCACUAAGUUCAGCAUCAAUAUGGUGACCUCCCAGGAGCAGGGGGACCACCAGGUUGCCUAAGGAGGGAUGAACUGGCUCACGUCAGAAAUGGAGCAGGUCAAAACUCCCGUGCUGAUUAGUAGUGGGAUCGCACCUGUGAAUAGCCACUGUACUCCAGCCUGGGCAACAUAGAGAGACUCCGUCUCUU
ensembl:misc_RNA Metazoa_SRP Metazoan signal recognition particle RNA